rnacentral:rRNA from 1 species
AUUGAACGCUGGCGGCAGGCCUAACACAUGCAAGUCGAGCGAGAGGCGGGCGGGUGAGAAAUGUCUGGGAAAAUGCCUGAUGGAGGGGGAUAACUACAGGAAACGGUAGCUAAAACAGCACACCAUAAGAUGUGUCCCGAUGGGAUUAGCUAGUAGGGGUGGUAACGGCGCCCCUAGGCGACGAUCCCUAGCUGGUAUGGGAGGAUGACCAGCAAACCUGGACCUGAGACACGGUCCAGACUCCUACGGGAGGCAGCAGUGGGGAAUAUUGCACAAUGGGCGCAAGCCUGAUGCAGCCAUGCCGCGUGUGUGAAGAAGGCCUUCGGGUUGUAAAGCACUGUCAGCGGGGAGGCGUUACCCGCAGAAGAAGCACCGGCUAACUCCGUGCCAGCAGCCGCGGUAAUUC